GCGGCUUUAGCUCACUUGGGAGAGCGUCAGACUGAAGUCACUGCUCUUGAGGCUAUCUGAAGGCACUGUGUUCGAUCCACAGAAGCCGCA
rnacentral:tRNA from 2 species